GACAGAGGGUGCAAACGUUGUUCGGAAUUACUGGGCGUAAAGCGCGUGUAGGCGGCUAUGUAAGUCGGGCGUGAAAUCCCACGGCUCAACCGUGGAAGUGCACUCGAAACUGCAUAGCUAGAGUCCUGGAGAGGAAGGUGGAAUGCUUGGUGUAGAGGUGAAAUUCGUAGAUAUCAAGCGGAACACCGGUGGCGAAGGCGGCCUUCUGGGACAGUGACUGACGCUGAGACGCGAAAAGCGUGGGGAGCCAAACAGGG
rnacentral:rRNA from 1 species